rnacentral:rRNA from 1 species
GCACUUUGUAUAUGUAUGAGUUAUGAUGCGGGUUACUCNUUGUAGUAUUGCUUGCACAUAUUUGUACAUUUAUUUGCAAGGUGUUGUCGGCGUGCACUUCUCCCCUAGUAGGACAUCGCGACCCGUUGGGUGUUGGUCUACGACCCGAGUNGGUAGUCUCNUAAUGUUUUNAAAACAUUAAAGACCCUUGGUGUUUUCUGACUGGCUGCCCGGCGGUACUCGUACGGUAUUUAGCCGCACUUUAUNGUGCGUCCAUUCCCGUCGCAAGCGAGGUUAGUU